GCGUGCUUAACACAUGCAAGUCGAACGAAGAUAUUUAGAAUGAGAGCUUCGGCAGGAUUUCUUUCUAUCUUAGUGGCGGACGGGUGAGUAACGUGUGGGCAACCUGCCCUGUACUGGGGAAUAAUCAUUGGAAACGAUGACUAAUACCGCAUGUGGUUCUCGGAAGGCAUCUUCUGAGGAAGAAAGGAUUUAUUCGGUACAGGAUGGGCCCGCAUCUGAUUAGCUAGUUGGUGAGAUAACAGCCCACCAAGGCGACGAUCAGUAGCCGACCUGAGAGGGUGAUCGGCCACAUUGGGACUGAGACACGGCCCAAACUCCUACGGGAGGCAGCAGUGGGGAAUAUUGCACAAUGGGCGAAAGCCUGAUGCAGCAACGCCGCGUGAAGGAUGAAGGGUUUCGGCUCGUAAACUUCUAUCAAUAGGGAAGAAACAAAUGACGGUACCUAAAUAAGAAGCCCCGGCUAACUACGUGCCAGCAGCCGCGGUAAUACGUAGGGGGCAAGCGUUAUCCGGAAUUACUGGGUGUAAAGGGAGCGUAGGCGGCAUGGUAAGCCAGAUGUGAAAGCCUUGGGCUUAACCCGAGGAUUGCAUUUGGAACUAUCAAGCUAGAGUACAGGAGAGGAAAGCGGAAUUCCUAGUGUAGCGGUGAAAUGCGUAGAUAUUAGGAAGAACACCAGUGGCGAAGGCGGCUUUCUGGACUGAAACUGACGCUAANGCUCGAAAAGCGUGGGGAGCAAACAGGAUUAGAUACCCUGGUAGUCCACGCCGUAAACGAUGAGUGCUAGGUGUCGGGGAGGAAUCCUCGGUGCCGCAGCUAACGCAAUAAGCACUCCACCUGGGGAGUACGACCGCAAGGUUGAACUCAAAAGGAAUUGACGGGGGCCCGCACAAGCGGUGGAGCAUGUGGUUUUAAUUCGAAGCAACGCGAAGAACCUUACCAAGGCUUGACAUCCCGAUGACCGCUCUAGAGAUAGAGCUUCUCUUCGGAGCAUCGGUGACAGGUGGUGCAUGGUUGUCGUCAGCUCGUGUCGUGAGAUGUUGGGUUAAGUCCCGCAACGAGCGCAACCCUUAUCUUCAGUAGCCAUCAUUCAGUUGGGCACUCUGGAGAGACUGCCGUGGAUAACACGGAGGAAGGUGGGGAUGACGUCAAAUCAUCAUGCCCCUUAUGUCUUGGGCUACACACGUGCUACAAUGGCUGGUAACAAAGUGACGCAAGACGGUGACGUUAAGCAAAUCACAAAAACCCAGUCCCAGUUCGGAUUGUAGUCUGCAACUUGACUACAUGAAGCUGGAAUCGCUAGUAAUCGCGAAUCAGCAUGUCGCGGUGAAUACGUUCCCGGGCCUUGUACACACCGCCCGUCACACCAUGGGAGUUGGAAGCACCCGAAGUCGGUGACCUAACCGUAAGGAAGGAGCCGCCGAAGGUGAAGCCAGUGACUGGGGUGAAA
rnacentral:rRNA from 1 species